AGCUGGAAAGUGUUGAUACAUUAUUUCAAUUAUUGCAACUUUUUUGAAAUUUAGGAUUUCUUUAGUAUGAUUGUUUUUUAAAUUUAAAAACUCAGACAUACUCACUUGCUCACUCCAUUGAACUAGCGAAAGACAAUCUAAGGGAAGGCUCAAAAUAUUCCCUUUGUACCAUAACAACUUUAAUUAACAUUAGUUUACACUGCAUCCAACACCGUUUAGUUAGCAAGAAUACAAACUAAUAACAGUGGGUGACUGCCCUGAGGGAAUGCUUACAGAUGUUUGUUUUUGUUUUUUUUCAUUUAGAGAAAAUAAGAGGAAAUUGCAGUUAAAAAUGUCAACGGCCUUUCCAAUUUUCAGCUGAGCUUUUUGUCUUUUCAAAUGAGCUCACUAAUACUGUGAAACGCACUUAUUCAACUGCCUUUGACUUCACAACCUAAAAUGAUCCCAUAUCUAUUUUGCAAACAUUUGUCUUAAAGGCAGCGAGGUGAACAGGAAGUUCCAGCAGGAAGUUUGUAUUUAAGAACUGAACUUUGAUAUGUCUGGGCCAAGAAUGAGGAGGGGUCGAGUGGAACCUUCCUCUGAGUGUUUGAAAGUCCGUUACACCAGCUUUAACAGACUAUUUUCAUUAAAAAUGUUGACGUUGCUCCAUUUUGUUUACAGUGGGUCUGGUAGAGCUGCUGUGGAGAAAAAGAAAAAGAACGUCCUCUUUUUUUCUUUCUCAGUUCAUUACAGGUUCGUCAUUGUUUUGUCCUGAAACCCCCCUCACCCUCAGCUCCUCCCUCUGCUGGCAGCAGGUAGUUUCGCAGGUUUUUUACUCCACCUCACACUUCAGUUCUAAACUUGUGAAACCAACUUGAUGCUGCUCUCACCUGGGGGUCCCCCCCCCGUCCCCCUGAACGUUUUGUGUUUUCACACUUGUGUGGGUGGGUGAAAGGGAUGAUGUCAUGUGACAGUCACAUGAUAACAUGUGGUGUUCUCACCAGUUUUUUUUUUUCUAACUAAAAAUUUGACGAGCCUAUGAGUUUGUUGUUAUGAUUGUCGUUUUCUAAAAAGAUUAGUUUCUUCUCGGUGUAAAGGAAAUUUACCAUGACUGCUUCGUAACGAAGCACCCGAUGUUCCUGAGAUUCUCAGGGCCUUGUGUUUUUGUUGUUGAUGAUAAUGUUGUCUUAAUAAACACACUUUUUUUUCAAUGCUGUAAGGUUUUCCUUUUGUAACCAUCCAUAUCUCCUAGCUGGUUUACUGCUGAAACAUUAUUAUUCUUAUGUAGAUAAAGAAACGAAUCAUAACUAGUAAUUAGUAACUUAAGACGAUAUCACCAGGAGGAACUUCAAUGAUAAGAAAAUAUUCUUUAUUGAUGGGGAAAUAAAACAUCUAAAAAUAAGGAAUACAGAAAAACAAAAUCAUUGAUGUUUAACAUCUAUUAGGAUUAUAUUUUCAUGACAAAUAUGUGAGUGUUUUCCAAUGAUUUAUUGAGUUGUUUACCAUGACCUGCCCUCAUUUUUAGUCUUGACACCAUAUGAAGUGUGUGUGUGUGUGUCUGUCUGUGGUCAACGUGGUUCUUGAAGGGCAUAUGUUCACUAUAACCCUAUAAAUACCCCUAACCUCCUCCCCCCUCCUCUUUUCUUGGCAGGGUUGGAUCAACAUUAGCCUCUGACACCAGCAGCUUCCUUGAAAAACAUGUUUUGCUGUCGUGGCUUUUGCCAGUCAGGAUCCGACUCCCCCUGCUGCUGCUGCUGGAUCACUGCACGUGUGUCGGUGUGGAAGUAGAGCAGCAGAACAUCAUUCCUGCAGUCAAUCAGUUUCAGUGAUGGAAUCAACUCAGCCCCCGUCACUGCUGGGAGAUGAUGACCCGCAGCUAUGUCCUUGGAAUGACCUCAGCGACUUCACCAAGAGCAGAACUGGGCUAAUGAUGUGUCCCAGACUGGGAAUUCCUGGAAAAGCAAAGGGAGGAAAAGGCUUCU